rnacentral:lncRNA from 1 species
CCCAAGUGCUUCAAUUUGAUUAAAAACUUUUCUAUCAAGUCAUUCUAUACUGAAUCUAAACUACUCCAUUAGCUUUAAAGGAAUGUGGAACUGAAGCAAAGAGGUGUCCCCACUUCCAUUCUCCAAAAUGAAAUUGAUCAUCUUAGGAAACUGUAUCAAACACUAAAGAAAUUGUCAACCUUCAACAAUCUGUGUUGGAGCUUUGGGAAAGGCCUGUUUCCUGGCACUAAAAGUAGCCAGUCUUGGCGUGAACAGCCCCUGACAAUUCCCAGCAUAUGGUAAGAGAAGACGCUUCUGCCCACCCAUCAGGUGAGGACUCUGACACAUCCAGAUUUUGUAAGUUGCAUAGAAUGAAUUUCACAGGACGCAUCCAAUUCAUUGACUCUUACAAGUUUGUAUCAACACCUACAGCUCUGACCUCUGGGAAUGAAGAAGAUACUUAACAAUAGUUUUGAUGGACUAGAAAAUCAACAGAGAUAAUAUCCAUAUUCAUAUUGGUAGCCCCAUUGUAUUUAGAUAGUGUGAGCCAGCAGUGUUCACUUCUACCCAAUUCAGGGACUUCCUCUAGCAAGGUAUUGCAGUUUGGAAGUGGGAACAGAAGAGACUGUGCAGUCUUCACAGGAGAACAUUGUCAUGACAAAGAGGACAAACAAGUUCAAGGCAAAAAACUAAACCAUAGCCUUGGGAUUCAAGGAAAAAGUCAUUAAGCACAGAGGUAAGCGAAGGACUCUCACCCAAAGGCUCUCUCUGCCCAGUCCAGUUGGGAUGGAAGAUUUCAUUCUUCACAUUCAUCAUUGACUGUGUACAUUCAUCAUGUGGGUCUCAGGUGUUGGCCUCCUACAACUCCUGAUAUCUGUCAAUUUAUUUCUUAUCUUAGGCUUUCUAACAAAAUUUAAGUUUACACUUUCUUUAGUUCAACUAGUACACUAGGAUAUAACAAGAGUGCC